AGCGAACGCUGGCGGCAGGCCUAACACAUGCAAGUCGAACGAACCUUUCGGGGUUAGUGGCGGACGGGUGAGUAACACGUGGGAACGUGCCUUUAGGUUCGGAAUAACUCAGGGAAACUUGUGCUAAUACCGAAUGUGCCCUUCGGGGGAAAGAUUAAUCGCCUUUAGAGCGGCCCGCGUCUGAUUAGCUAGUUGGUUGAGGUCAUGGCUCACCAAGGCGACGAUCAGUAGCUGGUCUGAGAGGGUGAUCAGCCACAUUGGGACUGAGACACGGCCCAAACUCCUACGGGAGGCAGCAGUGGGGAAUCUUGCGCAAUGGGCGAAAGCCUGACGCAGCCAUGCCGCGUGAAUGAUGAAGGUCUUAGGAUUGUAAAAUUCUUUCACCGGGGACGAUAAUGACGGUACCCGGAGAAGAAGCCCCGGCUAACUUCGUG
rnacentral:rRNA from 1 species